GCGCAAAGAGCUCAGCCACUACACGGCCUCUUUUGCCUACACACCGGCAGUGUCCUUCCCGCACUCAGAGGGCCUCUCUGGAGCCAGUUCCAGGCCACCCAUGGGCCUUGGCCCCGCCCCCUACUCAUGGCUGGCAGAUUCGUGGCCCCACCCAUCUCGAAGCCCCUCGGCCCAGGAACCCAGGGGAAGCUGCUGCCCUAGCAAUCCUGACCCGGACGACAGAUAUUACAACGCUCAGAGCCAGAGGAGUGGUGCCCGCCAAUGCCUGAGAGAAGUCACCUGACGGAGCCCAGCUCCAGUGGAGGGUGCCUGGUCACCCCAUCCCGAAGGGAAACCCCCUCUCCCACACCUUCCUAUGGACAGCAGUCCACAGCCACUCUUACACCCUCACCUCCUGACCCUCCCCAGCCCCCAACUGACAUGCCCCAUCUCCAUCAGAUGCCCAGGAGGGUGCCCCUUGGGCCGAGUUCCCCUCUCAGUGUAUCCCAGCCCAUGCUGGGCAUCCGUGAAGCGAGGCCUGCUGGCUUGGGUGCUGGCCCUGCAGCCUCACCCCACCUCAGCCCCAGUCCUGCCCCUAGCACAGCCAGCAGUGCCCCAGGCAGAACCUGGCAGGGGAAUGGGGAGAUGACUCCCCCACUUCAAGGACCCCGUGCUCGAUUCCGGAAGAAACCCAAGGCUCUUCCCUACAGGAGGGAGAACAGUCCUGGGGACUUGCCCCCACCACCCUUGCCACCGCCAGAGGAAGAGGCGAGCUGGGCCCUAGAGCUGAGGGCAGCAGGCAGCAUGUCCUCCCUGGAGCGGGAGCGCAGUGGGGAGAGGAAAGCGGUCCAGGCCGUGCCCCUGGCAGCCCAGCGGGUGCUCCACCCAGAUGAAGAGGCCUGGCUCCCAUACAGCAGACCAAGCUUCCUGUCCCGGGGCCAGGGCACCAGCACAUGUUCCACGGCCGGCAGCAACUCUUCCAGGGGCUCCAGCAGCUCUAGGGGCUCCCGGGGCCCUGGCCGGAGCCGGAGUCGGAGUCAGAGCCGGAGCCAGAGCCAAAGGCCAGGACAGAAACGCCGAGAGGAACCAAGAUGACCCUUGUUGGGGCAUUGAGAAUAUCAUGAGUGCCACGGGGAAGGGGAGUAGGGAUGUCUUUUCCCCCCCAGCAGUGAUGAGUGGGGCUAGCUGAAGCCCAUUGGUUUCCACGAUUUCAAUUGGCUGAGAAGGCAGAGAGCUAGCUCCUCCCUUUCUUUCUUUUUCCACCUGAGACUUGUUUAUAAAAAACAAAACAAUAAAAAGAGUCUGAUC
rnacentral:lncRNA from 1 species